CCCUUAGAUGUUCUGGGCUGCACGCGCGCUACACUGAUGCGCUCAACGAGUUUUAACCUUGCCUGGAAAGGUUGGGUAAUCUUUUUAAACCGCAUCGUGAUGGGGAUAGAUUAUUGCAAUUAUUAAUCUUCAACGAGGAAUUCCUAGUAAGCGCGAGUCAUCAGCUCGUGCUGAAUACGUCCCUGCCCUUUGUACACACCGCCCGUCGCUCCUACCGAUUGAGUGGUCCGGUGAGGCUUUGGGAUCUGAGCGGAAAGAGCGUUUCGCUGUUUCUGCUCGGAAAACUCAGUCGAACCUUAUCAUUUAGAGGAAGGAGAAGUCGUAACA
rnacentral:rRNA from 1 species